CGUAGGACCCGAGCGUUAUCCGGAAUUACUGGGCGUAAAGAGUUGCGUAGGUGGUUUGUUAAGUGAGUAGUGAAAUCGUGUGGCUCAACCAUACACCCAUUACUUAAAACUGGCAGACUUGAGUGCUAUAGAGGUAACUGGAAUUCCAAGUGUAGGAGUGAAAUCCGUAGAUAUUUGGAGGAACACCGAUGGCGUAGGCAGGUUACUGGAUAGCAACUGACACUGAGGCACGAAAGCGUGGGGAGCAAACGGGAUUAGAUACCCCGGUAGUCCACGCCCUAAACGAUGGAUGCUAGCUGUUAGAGGUAUCGACCCCUUUAGUAGCGAAGCUAACGCGUUAAGCAUCCCGCCUGUGGAGUACGAGCGCAAGCUUA
rnacentral:rRNA from 1 species